rnacentral:rRNA from 1 species
GAUGAACGCUGGCGGCGUGCCUAAUACAUGCAAGUCGAGCGAACAGACGAGGAGCUUGCUCCUUUGACGUUAGCGGCGGACGGGUGAGUAACACGUAGGUAACCUACCUAUAAGACUGGGAUAACUUCGGGAAACCGGAGCUAAUACCGGAUAAUAUUUCGAACCGCAUGGUUCGAUAGUGAAAGAUGGCUUUGCUAUCACUUAUAGAUGGACCUGCGCCGUAUUAGCUAGUUGGUAAGGUAACGGCUUACCAAGGCAACGAUACGUAGCCGACCUGAGAGGGUGAUCGGCCACACUGGAACUGAGACACGGUCCAGACUCCUACGGGAGGCAGCAGUAGGGAAUCUUCCGCAAUGGGCGAAAGCCUGACGGAGCAACGCCGCGUGAGUGAUGAAGGUCUUCGGAUCGUAAAACUCUGUUAUUAGGGAAGAACAAACGAGUAAGUAACUGUGCACGUCUUGACGGUACCUAAUCAGAAAGCCACGGCUAACUACGUG